GACGAACGCUGGCGGCGUGCUUAACACAUGCAAGUCAAACGAAGUGGCGAACGGGUGAGUAACGCGUAAUCAACCUGCCCUUCAGUGGGGGACAACAGUUGGAAACGACUGCUAAUACCACAUCCUGAGUGAGGGGCUUGCGUCUGAUUAGCUAGUUGGAGGGGUACUGGUCCACCAAGGCGAUGACCAGUAGCCGGUGUGAGAGGAUGAGGGGCCACAUUGGAACUGAGGAACGGCCCAGACGCCUACGGGAGGAAGAAGUGGGGAAUCUUCCGAAAUGGACGAAAGUCGGACGGAGGAACGACGCGUGAGGGAUGACGGCCUUCGGGUUGUAAAGCUCUGUCAAUCAGGACGCGGUACCGGAAUAGAAAGCCACGUCUAACUACGUGCCAGCAGCCGCGGUAAUAC
rnacentral:rRNA from 1 species